CUCAGACUAUUAAUCCUAUAAAUAUAUCUAAGGACCUGAAAACAUCAAACUACAGAUCGGAUACUGACAAUACAGAUAUACCAAUAACGGCACAAGACUUACACGACAUAUGAAACAUUAUAUAGCUCAUCGGUAGGCCUCAAUUUGCCGCUGUGUCAGGGACACUUCCCUUCCACACCUAGGUAUUCCAGUCAAACCGAUAAAAUGUACUG